UGUGUGAUGUAAAUCUGACUGCCUUCUAC
rnacentral:piRNA from 1 species